UACGGGGGGGCAAGCGUUGUUCGGAAUUACUGGGCGUAAAGGGCUCGUAGGCGGCCAACUAAGUCAGACGUGAAAUCCCUCGGCUUAACCGGGGAACUGCGUCUGAUACUGGAUGGCUCGAGUUUGGGAGAGGGAUGCGGAAUUCCGAGGUGUAGCGGUGAAAUGCGUAGAUAUCUGGAGGAACACCGGUGGCGAAGGCGGCAUCCUGGACCAACACUGACGCUGAUGAGCGAAAGCCAGGGGAGCAAAGCGGG
rnacentral:rRNA from 1 species